ensembl:lncRNA
AGCAGCUCAACAGGAAAGAAGCUACUCUUUCUUUCAACCUACAACCGAAAAAGCCAUCAACAUUAAAAACGAGGCCUAAUUUUAGAGUUUAAAAAACGGCAAAAAAUUGUUCAGACCAAAGAUCAACCAGUUUUCAACAUUGAAUCAACAUUGAAAUCUUUGUUGGUGCUCACUGGAUAUGUACAUCAAAGAUCCUCCCACAUCGUCAGCUCAUCACCCUCACCUGGUUUUCCUCGCCCUCCUCACCUGCAGCAAAUCCCCUCAUCAGCCACUCACUAUUUAAAUUCCCUGCCUGCACCUUUUCAGAUUUGUUUCCCUCCUUGAUUGCCAUCCUGGUUCUGACUCCUGCUUGUUCCCGUCCACGGAUUCUCUGCCUGCCCCUGUGGAAUUGUUUGCCUGCUGACGGAUCUCCUGGUUUUGACCUUGCCUGAGCUAUUGAUUAAAUCUACCAGUCUCC